rnacentral:rRNA from 1 species
GACGAACGCUGGCGGCGUGCCUAAUACAUGCAAGUAGAACGCACAGUUUAUACCGUAGCUUGCUACACCAUAAACUGUGAGUUGCGAACGGGUGAGUAACGCGUAGGUAACCUGCCUGGUAGCGGGGGAUAACUAUUGGAAACGAUAGCUAAUACCGCAUAAUAUUCAUUAUUGCAUGAUAAUUGAUUGAAAGAUGCAAUUGCAUCACUACCAGAUGGACCUGCGUUGUAUUAGCUAGUAGGUGAGGUAACGGCUCACCUAGGCGACGAUACAUAGCCGACCUGAGAGGGGGAUCGGCCAAACUGGGACUGAGACACGGCCCAGACUCCUACGGGAGGGAGCAGUAGGGAAUCUUCGGCAAUGGACGAAAGUCUGACCGAGCAACGCCGCGUGAGUGAAGAAGGUUUUCGGAUCGGAAAGCUCUGUUGUAAGAGAAGAACGGGUGUGAGAGUGGAAAGUGCACACUGUGACGGUAUCUUACCAGAAAGGGACGGCUAACUACGUG